GCGACAUCUUGGUUGGCAGUCUGCGUUGGUGCUGCUCCAGUCGCUCUCUCUGGGCUAAACAGAUGUCUUCGGUACUGUCCCGUCGACGCUUCCACGUUCGCAGCGAGGGGGGCUAAGAUCUUUGCGAGCGCCGCGAUUUGGUCGGUCCUCACUUUCUGGGCCGCGUCUUGCUGCGCAAGGCGCGCCAUGAUAGUUUCUAUUGAAGCAGGUUGGAGUGGUGUCGGAGUCACAGGGAAGGACGCCGGUGUUACUUCGGCAGCUUCACGCUCUUCUUCAGGGGAAGAGCCGACGUUACUCGUCGUCAUCUUGUCGACGUUACUUUGCUAGAUGCCCCACGAUGGGCGCCAACUGUUUGAUCGGGAAACGGUACGAAACGAGAGAACGUUCAAUUUUAGAAGUGGAUUUAAGAAAAGAUGUCUUAUUAAUGGUCGGGAGAGUGUUUCGUCAGUUACAAGAAAAGGAAAUGCGUGAAAGGAAAAGUACCGGAGCCUGAAAGGCUUUGCCAGAGAGAUACAACAAGACGAGACAACAAAGGUAAAAACCUUAAUCUAGCCGCCAAGUGUGUGUCAAUGAUUUCGAAUCCCCUUUACGUUGUCUUUCCUCUCCUUUUUAUAGCUGACCUCAUGCUCUCCCGUGACCUAGUUCGCAUCGUCUUCGUGGGCUUCUAACUCACUGGACCGAGAAACCCACGCUUUCUCUGUAGAAUCGUUUCCUCAGGAUUCGACCCUUCGAGGCUCCGCGCCGAGCCGUUGUUUCGCUUUAUGUGGGCUGGACCGUCUAUUUUUCGGGCCUUGAGGGAUUAUAGAAUUUACUCUCUACAGAAACUAACUGAUUUCUUUACUUCCACAAACUAACUAGGCAAUAAAAAAAAAGUAAUUCAAAAACUAUUUCUUAUUUAAUUGAAAAGUCACAUAUUCCCUAUAUUCUCUCUCCAAUAUCGAUUUGGAUCUCAGAUUUACUUUCUCAAAUUUUCUAUGUGAUUUGUCGAAGAAAACCAUGAACCCAGAGUUAUCAAGCUGGUUUUGAUUCUGUGAUUUCCUCUCCACGUCUUUAUUCAUCGUUCUCCACUUUCCGAUAAUUCUCAUCUACCCUUUUACUCUCUUUAAUGAACCAUGACGAAAUCGAAGCUAAAGAAGAAAGGCAAGACUACUGAGGAACCAACCCCAUCGCAAACCAAUAUCGGAAUCGAGAAACCAUGGCAAAACCGAAGUCAAAGAAGCUCAAUAGUCAACCUUUGAGAUUUUGUGGACGGAAGAGAUGGCAGAGCUCCGAUGUGGAGAAGACGACACGACGGCGACCAGGUCCGAGCUCCGUUGUGGAGAGGACGACGGGAUGGCGAGAAGGUCCGAGCUACGGUGUGGAGAGGACGCGAAGACGAGCAGAUCCGAGCUCCAUUGAUUAUUUUGCUCAUUGUUUUGUGCAACGAUUGCUGCGGUCAUGGCGGAUGCUGCGGAGAUUCAAAUUCUCGUCGAUUACUGGUAUUUGACACCGGCACAACUUUCAGUUCUCAAGAAGUGGAAGCGGUGAUGGCGGAUGCGGCGGAGCUGCAAGAGCAAUCAUCUAUACAUAUUUGCCUUUUGGUCCACCAGGAACACGCACUCCUCCUAUACUCAUGACAUCUCUACCUGCCUUUUCUGGUUCCAGCCCUUCCUCUACAACUCCAAUACCCGGUUUUUCUGUAGGUCCUACUCAAAUAAAUCAUGGUAUUCAUCCGCACAUGUAACCUCCUUAUCAUUCUCUGCCAACAGUUCAUGUAAUGCUUCAGACAUUAGUAAACUAUGUUGCACUGAAUUAUAAUAGUGGAGACACAUUCAUAUGUUUUUUUUUAACACCUACCAAUUCAUAUGGCUAAUAGUUAGUUGUUUGCAUAAUUGUCUCAUAACACAAAUUACUAACAAAAAUAACCGUAUGUUCAAUGUCUAUUAUUAUCUAUUCAUGUGUCCAUGUCCACGCCUAUUAGUUUACAAAUAGCCAUCCACAAAUAUUCAUACACAUAUUCAAACGAACAUGUUCAUGUCUUUUCCUUUCGCAUGAUAGAGUAAGAAAAAAAGUACAUUAAAGUGACGAAGUCUAUAAAGGCGUCUACAAAGGGAAAGGCGUCGGUACGGAGUCACUGUCAGCUGUGGAUAUAGACUAUAUUAUAAGGAACGGAGUCUUAAACUAUUGACCGAGACUACACUGAGGAACAAGGAAGCCUGACUGAGCAACCGUCUAUGUAUAUUAUUGAUUAUAACUUGUCCACAAAAACAAUAUUCAUGAGAUACUAUCUAUGAAUUUUUUUCACA